GCACGAUUAAUUACUGUAUAAUUUAUCAAUUCGGGUUUUUGGAAUUGCGUUAAAAACGACGUCUCGGUGCCAAUAACCAGGCGUCCUGCCAGACUUCGAAUACUUAAACUAAAGGGGACUGAUUGAAUCCCCCUAAAUAAGCAGGGGGACUUUGACCACUUGGUAUAUAGCGACCAAUUAAAUCCUAUGGCAUUGCAAUAUGCUAAUGAACCAACAUAAGAAAUAAUUAACGAGUAGGUACUGCUAAUUUAAGGUUGUACAAUAAUAUAAAUAAAACAAUAUGUUAAAACCGGGUGUAGUGCACAUCGCCGCAAGAUGUUUUUUUUUUUUCGUUUGAAACCUAGCGCCGUGUCUUAGUUGUUUUUCGACGUACGCUUGUGUGAUCGUCACCAUUACACAUUGGCCUAUUAGGGGAACUUCAUAUUAAAAGUACACCCAUUCUGAUUUUUUGAUCAAGUAUAUCUCGACGGGAUUUAGUGAUAGAAGAGUAGUUUUAACGCCAAACCAUUUGGCUUCGUGUCCCGCACAAGUCCCCUCCAUAGUUUAACACCGUAAAUCCCUUCCAAAGGAUAUAGCCUGGAAUUCGUCUGACCAUCGCCAAUCUUUGGAAACGAUCUCUAGAUCACCAAUCUAAACCACCCUUAUAAAAUUUAGUGUCAAUCGGAAUGGAUCGAAAAAAAUAAUUUUACUCUAAAGUAAUUGAUGGUGGGUCAGUAAUAUUUAACUUUUAACAUGAAGUGUCCUUGAUAGCCCUAUGUGUAACAGUGAACAUCACACUUGCGUACGUUGAAAUAUAAUCGAUACACGGC